rnacentral:tRNA from 1 species
CAAAAAGUAGUUUAAUGUUUGAAUGCUAGCUUUGGGAGCCAGUGGUGAGGGUUAGACUCCCUUCUUUUUGA